GCAGCAGUGGGGNAUUUUGGACAAUGGGCGAAAGCCUGAUCCAGCCAUUCCGCGUGCAGGAUGAAGGCCCUCGGGUUGUAAACUGCUUUUGUACAGAACGAAAAGGUCUCUAUUAAUACUAGGGGCUCAUGACGGUACUGUAAGAAUAAGCACCGGCUAACUACGUGCCAGCAGCCGCGGUAAUACGUAGGGUGCAAGCGUUAAUCGGAAUUACUGGGCGUAAAGCGUGCGCAGGCGGUUAUAUAAGUCAGAUGUGAAAUCCCCGGGCUCAACCUGGGAACUGCAUUUGAGACUGUAUAGCUAGAGUACGGUAGAGGGGGAUGGAAUUCCGCGUGUAGCAGUGAAAUGCGUAGAUAUGCGGAGGAACACCGAUGGCGAAGGCAAUCCCCUGGACCUGUACUGACGCUCAUGCACGAAAGCGUGGGGAGCAAA
rnacentral:rRNA from 1 species